rnacentral:rRNA from 1 species
CGUUCCCGGGUCUUGUACACACCGCCCGUCACACCAUGGGAGCGGGUUUUACCAGAAGUAGGUAGCUUAACCGCAAGGAGGGCGCUUACCACGGUAGGAUUCGUGGCUGGGGUG